rnacentral:snoRNA from 1 species
CUGCAGCCAAUUAAGCCGAUUGUCCCCCUCUCCCCAUGGGGGCCUGGUGUGCAGUGGCUGCAGGCAGCAGCCCCCUUGGUAGUGUCUGCAGCCUGUUGCUUGUAUGGGUUGCCUUAAGGGACCUUGGAGACAGCC